rnacentral:sRNA from 1 species
GCAGAAGUCCGGGGCUGGCAAGCGCUUCCUGCGCAGCGCCUAGGCGACCUGGAGUUUGUGAAGCUGUGAUGGUCUAGAGGCUGGAGAUUCAAGAUCUGGGUGCCAUCAUUUUCUGGUUCUGUUGAUGACCCUCUUCCAGCAAUUCCCUUGACUGAAGACGUUCUCAUAACAUUAGGAAAAGAAGAGUUCCAAAAGCUGAGACAAGAUCUUGAAAUGGUACUGUCCACUAUGGAGUCAAAGAAUGAAAAGUUAAAGGAAGACUUAGAAAGGUUUGUUUAUGUUACUAUUAAUCAUUCAUAUAUAUUAAGUGACAUUUAAAGUUUUAUUUAGAUAUUGCUUGUUUUGUUUUUCCAUGUCGAAAGGGAACAACGGUGGUUGGAUGAACAGCAACAGAUAAUGGAAUCUCUUAAUGUACUACACAGUGAAUUGAAAAAUAAGGUUGAAACAUUUUCUGAAUCAAGAAUCUUUAAUGAACUGAAAACUAAAAUGCUUAAUAUAAAAGAAUAUAAGGAGAAACUCUUGAGUACCUUGGGCGAGUUUCUAGAAGACCAUUUUCCUCUGCCUGAUAGAAGUGUUAAAAAGAAAAAGAAAAACAUUCAAGAAUCAUCUGUAAACCUGAUAACACUGCAUGAAAUGUUAGAGAUUCUUAUAAAUAGAUUAUUUGAUGUUCCACAUGAUCCAUAUGUCAAAAUUAGUGAUUCCUUUUGGCCACCUUAUGU